GCCGCUCGCAGGUGUUCGCUGGCGCCCGGAUGUCUGAGCUCUGGCUCCGCUCUGGCUCCGGCUCCCUCCGCAGCCUGCGGGCGGGGCUCCCAGCCCAUCCGGAGCCUCGCGGCGCCCCUGCCGCUCUGCCAGCAGCGCGGCCUCCCGGUUCCCAGCCUCCCGGCCUGGGGGGCCCCCCCGCCCAGCCGAGUUGCUGACCCGACUGCUUUCCCGCUGCCCCCAGCUGCGCUCGGGCCGCUGCAGCCUCGGCGCGCCCCCACCCCGCUUCCUGCCUCGGCAGCUUUGCCCGGACCGGGCGGCCGCCCUGGAUCGCACCCCGUUCCUUCCUUCCUUCAUUCUUUCAGGCAACUCGCAUUCCUCGAGCGCCUGCGACGUGCCCCGUACAAGGCCUCUCCGACCUUCGGAGUGUGGCCCACCGGGGUCCUCCCAGAAGCCUCUGCCCUCCUCACCCCGCCCUGGACUCUCCUCUCUGAUGUCCUGUUUCACUCAGAGGGUAGCAUUUAAUUGUUCUCUGAUUAUUUCUCCUGUUAAGGGUCAGUCGGUGGCAAGGUCAAGGGAGGGCUUUGUGACCGAAAUCAGGGGUCAGUCUGAAAGUAGGGUGAGGGAUCAGAAUGUGGCCAGAGUUGGGGUUCAGCCAAACCGUGGCAGGAUUUGGAGAUAGUGUGGGUAGGAGUUGGCAGCGCUCUGUCUAUGGCCAGGCUUUAUAGACAGGGAGGGUGUGAGGGUUAGUGUGAAUAGCAUCAGUAGCCAAGAUUAGUGAGUCAGUCUUUCGGUAGGGUCAGUGGACAAUCUGGAUCAGGGUAAUAGGUCACCCAGAGACCAGGAUUUGGGGGUUGACUUUGACAAGCCAGUUAAGGGGAGGAGGGCGCUGUAGCUUUCUGAACUCACAUUAGUGGUUCCUCUGUGGGCAGGGGGUGGGGGUGGUGGUGACCAUAGCUUCCCCCUGCAUCGUCCAGGUGGAGCUGGCCUUCCGUCUAGGACACUCAUUGUCCUCAACAACACCCUGCUUUGAUCAUGUGCCAGAUGUAGGGGAGGGGUAGGUAAGGGGGGCAAAACUCUCAUUGGAUCAGACCAUGGUCAGAAUGGCAGUAACACUGGCCAUGGCAGGGAGGCCCUAGGUGUCCCAGGAACCCCAUCUUGGAGUCACCCAUGUUUAACAGCAGGGCCCCUGGCAGGUCUUACAGUGGGACCAGAUGUAUGAAGGCAUUGACUUAAAAAAUAUGCACAACCUUAAAGGUGAGAGUUAAGUUUUAUUUGGGGACAAAAUGAGGACUGUAGCCUGGGAGGCAGCAUUUCAGAGAGCUCUGAAAUCCUGCUCCAAAGAGGUGGGGGGAAUGUGGGUGUAGAUGUGAUUUUGGUGAAGGGAGAGGUUCCUGCAGCCAUGCACACGCUUCACAGAAGUUAGCUGCUUGUCUCCCGAAGGUCACUGCUAGUCCCAAGGAGCAGGUGUCACCAUGAAGGAUUUUAGUGCUUUUCUAGAUACGAGGAGACGCAAGAAUCGGGCUCAUAAAAUCUCCUGAAAGCAUCUAUCUAUCUGAAGACCUGUUCUGCCAGUUUUCCCAGAACACAGGUUUGACUCCAUAGUCAAAUACAGCAGCAAGAAACUCUUCAAAAGAGGCCAUUUGAUAGGGCACAGCAUUUUCAUCUCUGUGGUAAUAGGAGAUGGGGGUUGGGGGCUGCCUCCAUUUCAGCCUUGCAAGGCUCACAGAUAUUAGGGGACCUGUCAGAUGUCACCCUGGGGUAAGUGUCAGAGCCCAAGUCUCUAACCUGUUGAUGUCUGCAGCUCUUUUAAAUCUUUGUACAAACCAACGCCGCAUAGAAUGGUCUUCAAACAGCCAUCACAGCCCUGCUGUGCUUUCUGUGAGUUCGGGAAUCAGACAGAUGCUGGUUGAAAAUGCGGGCUUUGUCGUCUAGCAGCUUUCCCAUCACAGUUUCCAGGAAGAAGAGGGCAAAGAAACCAUGAGACUUAUGGGACAUUUCCACCCCUA